GACAGGAGGAUGCAAGCGUUAUCCGGAAUCACUGGGCGUAAAGCGUCUGUAGGUGGUUCAAUAAGUCAACUGUUAAAUCUUGAGGCUCAACUUCAAAAUCGCAGUCGAAACUAUUCGACUAGAGUAUAGUAGGGGUAAAGGGAAUUUCCAGUGGAGCGGUGAAAUGCGUAGAGAUUGGAAAGAACACCGAUGGCGAAGGCACUUUACUGGGCUAUUACUAACACUGAGAGACGAAAGCUAGGGUAGCAAAUGGG
rnacentral:rRNA from 1 species